CAGAAACAAAUCUGAGAAACGCAAAAACAGUGAGACACCACCAUCACUUCAGUGGAGUAGUCGAGAGAGUGAGGUGAAUACUGAAUAGUAGUAGAUGCAACUAAGAAAAUGGGGAGCAUAACCACAAGCACCAUCGGAGCUCCCCCAACCCGAAGAACAACACUCACCCCUUUCUCUUCGCUUCUCCCCAAACCCAAACCCCAUUCUCUCGCCCUAUCCACUUCCAAUCCCCACCCAUUCCAUCUCUCCAAACCCCUAACCAUUUCCCCUAAUCCAAACCCCCCCAUUCCCAAAUCCACCCCCUCCUCCUCCUCCGCCGCUACCUCUCCAUCCUCCCCCCUAAACCUCAAGUCCCGCCUCCGCAACGGCGAGACCCUCUAUGGUCUCUUCCUCCUCUCCUUCUCCCCCACCCUCGCCGAGAUCGCGGGCCACGCCGGCUAUGACUUCGUCGUCGUCGACAUGGAGCACGGCCCCGGUGGCAUCCGCGACGCCCUUCCCUGCCUUCACGCCCUCGCCGCCGCGAACACCGCCGCCAUCCUCCGCGUCCCUGAAUCCACCGCCGCCUGGGCCAAGAAAGCCCUCGACCUCGGCCCGCAGGGCCUCAUGUUCCCCAUGAUCGAAUCCCCAUUAUCCGCCCAGGACGCAGUCUCCUACUGCCGCUUUCCCCCCACCGGGCUCCGCGGCGCGGCCCAUCCCAUCGUCCGGGCCUCCAAGUACGGCCUGGACGACGAGUAUCUCGGUAAUUACCUCGACGAGCUUCUUAUCAUGUGCCAGGUGGAGUCCGAGGAGGGAGUGGCGAACACUGGCGCGAUCGCCGCCGUUGAUGGCGUAGACUGCGUGCAGAUGGGCCGUUGGAUCUGAGCGCGAGUUUAGGGUACUUGUGGGACCCAGGGAACAAGAAAGUGAGGGAGGUUUUGAAGGAUGCUGAGAACAAGGUGUUGGAGAGCCGAAACGACGACGUUGAGAUUGGGGCUUAUCUCGCAGGUUUCGCCACGGUGUAUGAUGGGGCGAGGGAUUUGAGGUCGCGUGGGUAUCACAUGGUGAGUGGCGCCGUAGACGUGGGGCUGUUCCGGAGCGCAGCGGUGGAGGAUGUGACGCGGUUCAAGAUGGGCGGGGAUGGGUCGGAGAGUGAUGAGGGGGAGGAGAAAGAGGGUGAUGAGAAGUACUGGAGUGAGUGAAUGAAUGAGAGGUGUUUUUUUAAAAAAAUAAUUAGAUUUUUUGUAAAUUAGGUGAUGUGGUUGUUGGUUUAUGUGCUUUUGAUAUUUUAAAUGAAAAUGAAUCUUUGAUUCCAUAUUUUGUGUUUGUUAUAUGUGCAACAGAAUCCAUCUAGGCAACUUUACUAGUGGUAUGAUCCAUGUAGCUGACUUGACCAGUCAUAUGAUUCAUAUAGCCGAUUUCACCUAAAGCUUUGAUGUUUAUUUGUGGAACAAAAUCUAUGUUGUAUAGAGGGUGCUGAUGAGUACAGGGUUUUGGCUUCUCUAUUUUUCAUGUUAGGGAAUUUGAUAUAUACAUUUGAAAUUUUAAUAUCUUAAGGCAAACACUAAUGUCUUCUAGCUAGAUUUGGUAUCAUUUGCAGUGCAUACCAUCUAAUCUUAUAUGCCUCAAUGAAUCUGCAUGCUGUGUCUGACACUACAAUGGCUUUGAAUUUGGGAUCCAUGACCAUUGUUUGUAGUUCUGGAAGUUUUUGCGGCUGUAUUAGCUGCAUGUGCCUGAAAUUUCAGUAACCAUGACUCUGAUUGCAACUGUAAUUUAAAACCUUGGAUACUAUCAACUGAAAAUAUUUGUGAGGAUGUUUUAUGAAUGAGAUUGUUUUGCUCAAUGGGAUGAGUAAACAUGAAUUGGAUUGAUAUGCAGAUAGAAGUAUGAUAGGUUGCACUUAUUGAUUUAGAUGUCAGCAUAGGAGUUCUGGCUGUCUAGAUUUUAGAACAGGUUUGUACUGUUUUUCUAUGGCAUAAUUACAUGGAGAGUUGUUUUUGUUUGAUCUGUUAGACAUAAAUUAUGGGAGUCUCAGCUCUUAGGUGUUAUUCUGUCUCAAUCUCAUUUUUAACAUUGGACAUACUUCCCUAUUAUUAUUAUUUUUUUCAUUUGGGUUCUUAUGAUGACCAUAUAAAUUGCCUCUUUGACCCGUAAAUGAUUGUUCUUAGUAGUAGUUGCUCUGUUUUUUGUGUAGUAUGUGUCUCAUUCUUUAAACAAGACAUUAUGUUUUGUUAUUUGUUGUUUAAUUUGGUUCAUUUGUCAUGGGGAUUGGGUUAGAAGAGACCAAAAUAAUUCAAAAUUGCUGAUGAUAAUGAUGUUUUGCCUUUCUAUUUUCAUCUGGGUAUGUGGGGGAAUUCAUAAUACAUGUUGCUGUUGAAAUUCUAUGAUCUCAUGCAUAUGCUUGUACUCCUAUAAUGAUUUGGCUUGAUUUGGUGUCACAUGCACUGUUUGCCAGCUUAUAUGCCUCAUUGAAUGUGUGCCUUGUAUAAACACUACGAAGGUUAUAAAUUGUGGUGUGUGCAACUGCAGUAUCAUCGUUUUGGUGGUCUUUGGGAUUGCAUUAACCACGUUUACCAUAUAUCAGUAACCACAUGAUUACAACUAUGACUGCAACUGCAAUUUAAGACUUUAGGCACUACCAACUGAAAACAUUUUAAAGGCUAUUCUUUGAAUAAUAUGGGUAGCCUUGAUCAAUGGGAUGAGUAGGCAUGGGUUGGAUUGACUUGCAGAUAAAUGCAUGGGAGGUUGUGUUUAUUGAAUUAGAUGGCAUAAUAGGGAUUCCAGUUUCUAGAUAGUAGACCGGGUUUGUACAGCUUUGUUGAUGCAUGAUUACAUAGAGUUAUGGUUAUUUGAUCUGUUAAAACAUAAAUUAUGGGAGACUCAACUUUCAACUUGGUGCUAUUCUGUGGCAUUCGUAAUAUUGAAGUAUUGAACUUCCUAUUUGUUUUGGGUUUUUCAUAUAACCAUAUAAAUUACCUCUUGGACCCAUGUAUGACUGUAAUUCAUAGUUCUCUGGUUAUUGGUGUUCUCUGUAUCUCAAUUGUUAAAAAAGACAUGUUAUGAUAUUUGUGGUCUAAUUUGGUCCAUUUGUCAUGGUGAUUGGGUAGAAGGAACCAAAAUAAUUCAAAGUUGCUGUUUUGUAGUGUUCUCUUGUUUCUUCUCCAACAGAAAUAGUUGCUAUAUGGCUUUGCGAAACAUCAAACAAGAAGGUUACAAUUACAGUAGUCAAGUCACUCCUUCAAACAAGCUAAGCCUCCUGUGGUUAGAUGGAAGAAAUUAUAAACUGAUCUAGCUUUUUUUUUCUCUGAUGUGUAAUUGUGCUCUUGGUUUUGCUGUAAAUACAUUCUGUAAUACGAUGAUGGUGUGUGUUUUGUAAUUUCCCCUGUCAUGAUUACUCUUUACAUGUGCAGCUCCAAAUACCUUAAUUUGGAACAAAAAGAAAUCUGUCAGGUAUUAAUUGCUAUUGAAAUGCAUUAUGUCUCAUGAUGUGAUAUGGUAAUCGAUUGCUUGGGCCAUCUUAAUGAAUUUUUUGCUGAUGUGAUUAAGUGUUAACCUUUGUUGCUCGUGAUGAUGAUUUCAGUCUUUUACAUGACAAUUGAAACUGACCUUAGAGAUUAUUCAUGUUUGGUUGCUUGAAUCUUGAGAUAACACUUUGGCCUUAUCUUUGCACUUGGAAAGACACCCCUCUGCUUGAGCUUUUGUCAAUUGAUUUUCCAUUCAAUCAAAUAGAGUGAAAGUUCAAUUGAAGACGGUGUCUUGCAUGCGAAGCGAAACACGUUUCGCACGGUGCGAAAGUGAUUUGUGUCUGUCGGAUUACUUAAUUUGAAGAUCUAUGGCUGCGGUUUUUUCUUCUAUUUUUUUGUCUUUUUACUUUAAUUUUUUCCCGUUAUACCCUUUUACUUUUUCUCUUCCUUCCCCUCUUUCCCCAUUUCUCUUUCCUCUCUUCUCUACCAAAACGGCAGAGUUGGUUGCCAUCAGAGGUUUGGGAGCGAGAGAUAAGGUGGUGGUGCAUGGUGGUAUGGUCGUGUGGUGCCAUCUGUGGUUCUGGGGUAAGAUAGAAGAUGAAAAUGAAAAACAAAAGGAGGAAAGAGAGAAAGAAAAGAGAAAAGUUGUCAGAAAAUGCUUCCCGUGGUGGUGCGUGAUGAUUGGAGGGCAAGGUGGAGAAGAAAAGAAAAUAAACAAGAUGUCGCUGCCAAAAAUCACCUCUGACGACAGUGCAAGGUGGUCUGCCGCGGAGGUCACAGUGGGUUGAGGUGGACGUGGUGAUAGACUUAGGGGCGAGAUCUAACCCUCAGUCAUUUAUUUAUGCUUUGUCUUAGUGAGGAUCAACUUAUGGUUUAGAUAUGAUUUUGGUUUUAUGUUGUAUUAUUUCCCUUAAUGGGAUCCUCGAGAUUUGUUUCGAGAUUUGUUUAUGAUGCUUUGAUGAUGGCCUUGGAACACAUGUACACUUUAUGUUAUAUAUUUUGAGGACCUUUUAUGGGUGAA